AGUUUGUGCAGGAAAAAUACAGAAUAAAAGUUGUUAGGUUUGAGGCUGAAGUGGAAAAGUUGGGAUAUUGAUAAAAACCAAAUUCAACAAAGUGCAAUAAAAAGUGACAAGUGAAUAAAUGAACUCAAACUCAAACUGAAAUGUAAUAUUUCCAUCACGGUUUCCAUCGUUUGAGGUUUGAUGCUCUCGUUGCAUCAUCUCUCCUGCUUUCACUACAUUCGGAUGGAAAUUGAACUACUAAUGCAAAAGUGCUCUUUUUAUAUUUUAAGACAAUCUGCAGAAGCGUCUGAUGGAUGUUUACGACAGAUCAGGUGAUCAUGUCCAUGUUCGCCUUUUGUUUGGUCUUCCAGGUAGGACUGGUUAAACUGGGUGUUUGUCUGAUUGUUCGAACCUCUUGUCGACAGCGUCCGACAGGAAACAAAGCGAAGACACCCAGAGGCCCGAGCUGUCGGCCGCUGGUCGUCUCUGCUUAUCUGCACAUCUCUUACCUGAGCUGUUGAUCUGUUCGUGCUCCCCUCAGAUCUACAGGGAGGAUCUGGACUUAGACACAUUAAGAAAAACUCUCACAAUAUUUGACUUUAGGAUUAACACUGACAGGCUUUUAAAAGAGUUGAGGAGGGGGGAGGUGAGGAUCUCAGGUUUCACAGUAUUUUCCCUGGCACUUGAAGGCAUCACUCUGCUGAUGUAUUACACUGUGACCUGUGGUCCUUGAAUCCUUCAUCAUCUCUGUUUACAGAGCAGUUACAUUUAUUACUGUAAAGAAAAUGAAAUGUGAAAACAAACCCCAGACAGUUGGCAGUGCAGUGGUUUUGUCUUUUAUCCCCUUUUGUCUCAACAAAAAUAAAAGCUUAAAACCUCUUUCACCUGCACAGGUUUCCUCUUUAAAGGCCCAGUGAAGCGUGGCGAGCUGCCGCUGUGCUCUGCUUCUCCCCCGGCAUGUUGCAGCUGGUCCGGGAUCAAAAACACUGGAGCUCCUGCAGGAAGUGAAGCACUGUGAGAAUAAUAAAGAGGAUUAAAGAGGUGCACCAAAGUGACCAACAGGAGAGAGGUGCAGGUCUCAGUUAAUUACAGUGUGUCCACACUGCGUCCUGUGACCUGCUCCAAUCAGGCACCAGGUGAACACACCUGUGGGCGAGAUGAGAUGACGGUACAUGGAAGAAUGAAAGUGCAGAGAAGCUGCUUGACAUAUUGAAAUAUUUAAAUAUUUAUCUUCCAUGGAGCACAGACAGGAAAAACAAGGCAAAUCUCCAGCUGCUGGACGCGAGGAAGGAGCCGAGCAGUUAAUAUGUGACUGUUUUUGGACACAACUUUCAGCUUUAUGAUGAAAAUAUUGUCUCCACAUUAAUAUUGUUGCCUUCAGUCCUGGUUCUGGGUGGAAGUCCAGUUAGAGUGACAGAUCCACGGGUCUGACUGUUCACCGAAACACCGCAGAGAUUUAUAAAACGACAAGAAAGGAUGAAGGUUCGUUAUUGACCUUGGAGAUUGAAGUUUGAAGUAGUGGAACUUUUACAGGCGAGACGUGGCCUCGGCGCUGGAGCUGCUUGGCAGGAGACGCCGUUGUUUUCCAUCAGUUUUCCCAAAAUUGUGACUGAAAUCACGUCUAGAUCCUGAGAUGACACCUGAUCGUACUCCAUCCCCUGAAGGCCAGGAGAGGUGGACGAAAGCUCCGGGAAGGAACCAAAGCUUUUCUGUUUCCGAGCCGUCAGGACGUCAGCUGAGGAACGGCUCCGAGGACCAACGGCAUCUUCACUGGGUCUAAGGACAUUUGUCAAAUCUCCUGACGUUUGACGGCGGACACCAACAGACGAGGACGAUUCAACAAGAGCGAAACAGGAAGAAGACUGAAGAACAGAGCAGCCGUAACAUCAACCUGUGACCUCGGUGUCAUGAGGAGGAUCUCAGAGAACUGUGCAGUUAUUACAAGUCCGGGUGAAGCUGACUCCGCGGGCUCUGCAGGGCGGAGGGCGGCAGUAAAACAGAGACUGAUCAGCUGCAGAUGAGGACGGACGUCUCAUCUCACUGGUUUUAAACACGGCGCCGUCCAUCCCAUAAAUCAGCAGGCUGCUCAUCAUGUGACGUGUUGUCAGAGGGGAGAUAAGUUCACGUAGCCGUCGUCCACCAAUCAGAAGGUGGGAGGUUCGAUCCCCGGCUCCUCCAGGCCUCGUGUCUCUGGGAGGAGAGGACGGCGUCCUGUGAGGGCCGAGCGCCGAGCGCCGCUCUCUCUUCACGUGCCGCCACAACGAUGCAACUGGGAGUCGAAUGGAGGCAGUAAAAACAGUUCCUUCUGUGCUCGUCCCCGGCCGGAGCGUCCGCAGCUGAAAACACUGGCUGUGUUUAUGUUCGGGGGGGAAAGUUCACAUCCAUCAUCCGUCUGAGACACUUUUAGCCGGUCGCUGGGCUGAUGGGCCGAAGACAGAGAGGGAGACGCUGUUCUGCACACAGAGCGGGAAAACUUCACACAGACGCUGUGAAAUGGAGGAAAGAUCCUGGUGAAACUCAGUUCAUUUUACUGCAGUGAGUGGAUUCAACAUCAAUGCUCUGCCAUCGGGACAGAAACCAGUCUGAGCCACUCAGGAGGAAGGCCUGCAGACAGUUACAAGAACGUUAUGAGAGAUAAGACGAGAGUUUGACUCUCUCUCUUUUUUUAUUCUCCACCACUGUGUCCAUCCAAAUGAGUUACUUGCACUUAACUUGAUUAUUUCUUUGAAGCUAUUUAAAGGGAAAUAUUAAAACUUUUUGAUCCACUAUUAUUUAUCUGGCAGAUUGAGUCUCUACUUGCUUUAUAGAUUUAAGAUUUACACAAGAGAUUAUGAUUUAAUAAAGUU